UGGGGAAUAUUGGACAAUGGGCGCAAGCCUGAUCCAGCGACGCCGCGUGUGUGAAGAAGGCCUGCGGGUUGUAAAGCACUUUCGAUGGGAACGAAAUGUGCCGGGUUAAUACCCCGGUAAGCUGACGUUACUCAAUGAAGAAGCACCGGCUAACUCUGUGCCAGCAGCCGCGGUAAGACGAACCGUCCAAACGUUAUUCGGAAUCACUGGGCUUAAAGGGCGCGUAGGCGGCCGAGCGGGUCGUGGGUGAAAUCCUCCAGCUUAACUGGAGAACUGCUUACGAUACCACUGCGGCUCGAGGAAGGAAGGGGUCAUGGGAACUGUCGGUGGAGCGGUGAAAUGCGUUGAUAUCGACAGGAACGCCUGUGGCGAAAGCGCAUGACUGGUCCUUUUCUGACGCUGAGGCGCGAAAGCCAGGGGAGCAAACGGGAUUAGAUACCCGAGUAGUCCCUGAGCGGGCUGGCAAGGCGCAU
rnacentral:rRNA from 1 species